rnacentral:rRNA from 1 species
CAGUCGCCGCGGUAAUACAGAGGGUGCAAGCGUUAAUCGGAUUUACUGGGCGUAAAGGGCGCGUAGGUGGUUAUGUAAGUGAGAUGUGAAAUCCCCGGGCUCAACCUGGGAACUGCAUCUUAUACUGCGUAGCUGGAGUGCAGUAGAGGGUAGUGGAAUUUCCGGUGUAGCGGUGAAAUGCGUAGAUAUCGGAAGGAACACCAGUGGCGAAGGCGGCUACCUGGACUGACACUGACACUGAGGCGCGAAAGCGUGGGGAGCAAACAGGAUUAGAUACCCCCGUAGUCCCUGUCUCUUAUAC